UCCUGGCUCUAGCUUUAGCUUUUGGGU
rnacentral:piRNA from 1 species